rnacentral:rRNA from 1 species
GGCUCCUUGUAAAAACUUAAAUAGGGAGUCCGGCCUGCCCAGUGAAGGUUUUUAACGGCCGCGGUACUCUGACCGUGCAAAGGUAGCAUAAUCAUUUGCCUUAUAAUUGAAGGCUGGUAUGAAUGGUUUAACAAGAAUAUAGCUGUCUCUUUAUAAUUUGCUAGAAUUUUAUCUAUAAGUGAAGAAGCUUAUAUAAAAUUGAAGGACAAGAAGACCCUAUCGAGCUUUAAAAAAACUAAUAGACUAAAAGGUUAUUAAUAAAAAAUAAUCUAUUAGAUAUUUUAGUUGGGGCGACUAAGGAACAGAAAAAGCUUCCUCUAACAUAUCAGAAAACUAUGCAGGUAUUGAUCCAGAAAUUUUGAUUAAAGGAAAUAGUUACCGUAGGGAUAACAGCAUAAUCUUUUUUAAGAGCCCAUAUCGAAAAAAAGGUUUGUGACCUCGAUGUUGGACCAGAAUAUCCUAAAGAUGUAGCAGUCUUUAAGGGUUGGUCUGUUCGACCAUUAAAAUUCU